rnacentral:rRNA from 1 species
UACGGAGGAUCCAAGCGUUAUCCGGAAUUACUGGGCGUAAAGAGUUGCGUAGGUGGCUUGGCAAGCAAGCAAUUAAAGCGUGUGGCUUAACCAUACAUGAAAUUGUUUGAACUGCCUGAGCUUGAGAACGAGAGAGGUAGCUGGAAUUCCCAGUGUAGGAGUAAAAUCCGUAGAUAUUGGGAGGAACACCGAUGGCGUAGGCAGGCUACUGGCUCGUUUCUGACACUAAGGCACGAAAGCGUGGGGAGCGAACCGG